rnacentral:lncRNA from 12 species
CUGUAUUGGUUCAGUCAAUCAUACACACAUACUUUUUUGUUGUUGUUGUUAUUUUCACAUUAAAAGCUCUUAACAGUUCAGCUUCACUACUGUUAAAAAAUUGGGGUUCAGUAAUAUUUUUUAAAGAAAUUAAUACUUUUAUUCAGCAAGGACGCAUUAAACUGAUCAAAAGUGACAGUAUUUAUAUUUUACAAUACUGAGUAAAAUAUAUAUAUAUAAAUAUUUAUGUAAAAUAUAUAUAUAAAUUUCCAGAAAAAAAUAUUAAGCAGCACAACUGUUUUCAACAUUAAUGAUUAUAAGAACUGUUUCUUGAGCAGCAAAUCAGGAUUUCUGAAGGAUCAUGUGACACUGAAGACUGGAGUAAUGAUGCUAAAAAUUCAGCUUUGAAUCACAGAAAUAAAUGACAUUUUACAAAUAUUUGAAAAUAUAUGUUAUUUUAAUUGUAAUAAUAUUUUACAAUAUUGUUGUUUUACUGUAAUUUUCAUCAAAUAAAUGCAGCCUUGGUGAGAUUAGGAAAUGUAAAAAAAAACAAAAAAAAAACUUUUUUUUCCCUCGAUCUAUGAAUGCAAUUAUAAAUGUCCUCCAAAAUAAGUAAACACAAUGACAUUCUUCUUAAUUUAAUGACUAAAAAAAAAAAAAAAAAAAAAAACACCAUUACGGUAAUCUUAUUAUGUUAAUCUGUAAUAAAUGAAACCAAACGGGCCAGUCAACAGUGUUCAGGGCAAAUCUGAUUUACUGGACAGAAUAAGCUCAAAAUGAGGCAGUUUCUAGCUGUCAUUUAGACAAUCGAGGCAAUUGUAGCCAAUCACAUUCCGCUGCAUUACAGGCCACUGCACAUUUGGACAGUGUCCAGACGACGCUGUGAGACCUCAUGCUGGCUGGGAUGAUCACUAACAUGUCAUCAGCAGAUCUCCACAGCCUGAAGGAGAAAUGCAGGAGACGCUGGACGGCUCUGGGUGCAGGACACACAUGGGAUGGCAGAUGCACCAGCAGGCAUUCUCCUGCUUGCAACGAUAACAUGCUGUUUCAUUCUGGAUGCUAGGGGGCAAUGCCAUGGCAUAUGUCUACGCAUAUCAGUGGAACCUAUCAGUGGAAAGAAUGGGCACUGCUUCAUGGAGACAGAACAUGCAUAUUCUUGUGCUUUUUGCUGUGUUUGAUAGCUGUACCAAAGACUGAGUGUCCCCUUGUGGACAUUUGAGGAAAUGCAUUUGGGUAGAUCAAGAUUUGAGGUCAGUAUUUACUCAAUUAUUCUCUUUACAGUUACUAUUUUCCACAAUUUAAAAUAAUGGUUAACAGUGGUAAUAGAAAAUGGGUUGCAACUGUUGUUGAAUGGUUGGAAAGUAUUUGAGUCUCUAUUUAUAACUAACAAAAGCACAACAAAAAAGCAUAUUAGCAGGUAUGGAGUCAAUGCAAUCUUGCCUCAUCAGGGACUAAUUUACUUCCUAUCUUUUUGAAGGGCACACUUCAAUGAAUCAUUGUGUUAAAAUAGCUAAACUCUGUUCAAUUAUCCUGCAUAAAAUUAAGCUAAAUGACAACUUUAUGGAUAAUUUUCUAGAAAAGAGAUUACGAUAAGAAGCCAUGAAGCAGAAAACUGAAAAUUGUCUGUGUAUUCUCAAUAGCACCUAAAAUACAACUCUCACAGGCCUAGUACAAGUUGAGAUGGAUUGAUGUGAAGUGUUAAGUAAAUUUGAGCUGGCUGAUAAGCCCUUAUCUUGAAUAACUCCACUAAUGCGACUCCAUUAAAAUCCAUUUUGAGACCUGGAUCUGGCUCAGCGUGUGGGCCAUAAAUCAACAUGCAAU